rnacentral:rRNA from 1 species
UACGUAGGGUGCAAGCGUUGUCCGGAAUUAUUGGGCGUAAAGAGCUUGUAGGCGGUUUGUCGCGUCUGCUGUGAAAUUUCGGGGCUCAACCCCGAACUUGCAGUGGGUACGGGCAGACUAGAGUGUGGUAGGGGUGACUGGAAUUCCUGGUGUAGCGGUGAAAUGCGCAGAUAUCAGGAGGAACACCGGUGGCGAAGGCGGGUCUCUGGGCAACAACUGACGCUGAGGGGCGAAAGCUAGGGGAGCGAAAGGG